rnacentral:rRNA from 1 species
GAGUUUGAUCCUGGCUCAGGAUGAACGCUGGCGGCGUGCCUAAUACAUGCAAGUCGAACGCACUGAUUUUAUCAGUGAGUGGCGAACGGGUGAGUAAUACAUAAGUAACCUGCCCUCAUGAGGGGGAUAACUAUUAGAAAUGAUAGCUAAGACCGCAUAGGUGAAGGGGUCGCAUGACCGCUUCAUUAAAUAUCCGUAAGGAUAGCAGGAGGAUGGACUUAUGGCGCAUUAGCUGGUUGGUGAGGUAACGGCUCACCAAGGCGACGAUGCGUAGCCGACCUGAGAGGGUGGACGGCCACACUGGGACUGAGACACGGCCCAGACUCCUACGGGAGGCAGCAGUAGGGAAUUUUCGGCAAUGGGGGAAACCCUGACCGAGCAACGCCGCGUGAGGGAAGAAGUAUUUCGGUAUGUAAACCUCUGUUAUAAAGGAAGAACGGUAUGAAUAGGAAAUGAUUCAUAAGUGACGGUACUUUAUGAGAAAGCCACGGCUAACUACGUGCCAGCAGCCGCGGUAAUACGUAGG